UUUUUUUUUAAAUCACAGAAUAAUAUUUCAUUGGAUAUACCACAGUUUGUGUAUCCAUUCACACUGGGGCAUCCCAGUUACUUCCAGUUUGGGGUGAUUAUUAGUAAAGCUGCUAUAAAACAUCCAUGUGCAGGUUUUGAGUGGACAUAACUUUUUAACUCCUUUAGGUAGACACCAAAGAGAGGGGCACUUGCUGGAUCAUAGGGUAAGAGUAUGUUUAGUUUUGUAAGAAACUGCCGAACUGUCUUGCAAAGUGGCUGCACCAUUCUCUUUCUGCCAGCAGUGAAUAAGAGUUCCUGUUGCUCCACAUCCUCACCAGCAUUUGGCGUUGUCAGUGUUUUGGGUUUUAUGCGGAAUGUGUUUUCAUGUAUUUGUUUGCUGUCUGUAUAUCCUCUUUGGUGAGGUGUCUGUUCUGUUCUUUUGCUCAUUUUAAAAUUGAAUUGUUUGUUUUCUUAUUGUUGAGUUUUGAGAGUUCUUUUCUUUUUUUUUUUUUUAAUGGUCACAUCGUUGGCAUAUGGAAGUUCCUGGGCCAAGGGUAGAAUCUGAGCUGCAGCUGUGUCCUUUAAGCCACUACAUCGGCCCAGGGGUCAAACCUGCACCUCCUCAGCGACUAAAGCUGCUGCAGUUGGAUUUUUAACCCACUGCGCCACAGUGGGAACUCUGAGAGUUCCUUAUCCAUUUUGGUUAUGAGUCCUACUUGGUGAUUAAUUUCUCCUAGUCUGUGGGUUCUUUUCAUUUCCUCAGCAGUGUCUUUCACAGCAGAGUUUUAAAUUUCAGCACCAUUUUGCUUUCAUGUUAAGAUCAUCAUCACCAAAUAUAAGGUCGUAUAGAUUCUUUUCCCAUGUUUUUUAUCUAGUGGUUUUACAGUUUUGCAUUUUAUGUUUAGGUCUGUAGUUCAUUUCAGGUUGGUAUUUGUGAGAUGUAUAUGAUCUGUUUCCAGAUUCAUUUUUUUCGCAUGUGGAUGUACAGUUCCAGUGCCAUUUUUUGAAGAGACUUUGUGAAAUUGCUUUUGCUCCUUUGUCAAAGAUCAGUUGCUAAAUAUGUGGAAGUCCAUUCCUGGGAGCUCUGUACUGUCCCAUUGACGUAUGCAGUUAUCCUUUUUCCAAUACCCUGCUCUCUUGAUUUUUUGUGACUUUUAAUUUUAUUAGGUUUCUAACAUUUUAUGUGUUCAUGAUGAUUCUUCUCUUUAAGCUCUGUGGGUUUUGGUGUGUGGCUCAGUACACCUGCCUGGGGUCUGCUGGCCCAGGUCUUGAGCUCUGGGGUGGCAGGGUUGGUCCUGGUCAUCAUCAACCAAUGUAGUCCCUUUUUUUUUUUUCCCACUCUUGAGAAAAAGUAAUAGAAUGCUUAUGGUUAAAAAGAAAAAUCGCUAGUACAGUUGCUUAUUUUUUGUUGGUUUGUUUUUUGCUUUUUUGUCCUUUUAGGUCCUCCCUGGGACAUAUGGAAGUUCCCAGGCUAGGGGUCAAAUCAGAGCUGCAGCUACUGGCCUACGCCACAGCCACAGCAAUGCAGGAUCCAACUUGGGUCUGCAUUCUGCACCACACUCAUGGCAAUGCUGGAUCCUUAACCUACUGGGUGAGCCAGGGAUUGAACCUGCCUCCUCAUGGAUAAUAGUUGGGUUUGUUAUUGCUGAGCCACAAUUGGAACUCCCAGUUGGUUAGAUUUUUGAUGGAAGAUGAGUAUGACACUCCUCUGUGUCUUUGUGUCCCUGUUUUUGAGGUGGUCUACAGGACCUUCUGUUUGGGCAGCUCAGUCAGAGUUGGCUUUACUCCUGGUAAACCACCUGGAGAGCAGCUUAACUUACUAGCCUUAUGCAUUUGACCUAGGCAUCAGUUAGGGGAGGGGUGUGGACUCAGCUACUGCUUAGACCUAGGAUAAAAUCCUCCUUGGGCGUUUACUAGCUGCCUGCUGCACAGGCAGGGGCCAGUUGCUAGGUCCCUCUAAAAGUGACAGAUGCAUACCCAUUUGGGCUUCAGGUGCCUUCACUAUUAUUUCAGGUAUUCACAUCCUCUGUGAGCCCCUUUCCAGCCUGCCAGGCUCUAGGUCUGGUCCAUCCUCUGUUCUAGUGCCAGAUUCCACCCUGGAGAUGCCCACCUAGCUUUUCCCCAUGCCCGCUCCUCCUCUUGACCACCUUUGGGACAGGUCUGUAGGGACCUGAAGUGGAUUUAUGGGUGGUGUGGGUGGUGUUCCACAUGCCUGGCCGGCCAUGUCUGCAUCUCCCACAGUCUUUCAUUGCCAAGCACACCUCUUUUCCAAAAUGUUCUCUUGGGAUCAGUGUCUCACCUCCUUUGUGCCUGUACUGGUUGAAGUCUGGAACACAUCCCUGUUUCAGGACCCAGAGGAGCCUGUGAGGCUUUGGGGAGAGAGCGUGCCUGGGCCAGAGGCUCAGGGCAGAGGGUCAGGUCCUGACUUGACACUUUCUUUGGCUGUGGUUUGCAUGGUGACUGCCGCAACUUGCAGCAAUGUUGGUGCUGUUGUGAUUGGGCUAAGAAAUGGCCCCGAGCAGCUUAUACAAGGGCAUCCAGGAUGAAUCAGGAGUGUUAGGCAGUGGCCCGAGCUGUGAUGGAGUGAACACGUGUGCAUAUGCUCACAUGUGUGGGCAUUGUAGCACAGGCUUCACUCCUCUGAGUCACCUCAAUGUAUGUCAGGGGGGACGAGGCUGGGAGACCGGAUACCUGGCUUCAGUAUAGUGUCCCACCCACCCACCUGAGCCUCAGGUUCUCACCUCUUUUCAUGGGCAGUGCAGUAUCCUUGGUUCUUUGGGUCAUGGGAGUCCCUCAUGGCACGUGCUAUCGCAUUGGCCCCUCAGGAGACUGUGACAGACUGCCAGACAUAGGGACAACUUUGCUCCCGAGACCCUUUCUCUCACCCUGGCUGCAGCUGCCAACAGGCCCGUCUACCUUCCAGAGCCUCUUAGGGCAGAUGUGAGCAUUGAAUCAUCAUUGCAGCCCAUGCCUAUAGUCCCGUAGGUUCCACUCUUGUCCCCAAAGCUGCAGAACUCUGGAUCUUUGCAGGGACACGGCCUCAUUUACUAUUGAGCCUCUGGCCACUUGCUGAUUACGAGGCUCUGUGGAUAUCCCUUCCUAAAUGGGGCUGAUAAUAUGAGAACACAUGCUGAGAUUAGAGAUGAAGUAAGAAACCCCCAUCCACUCUCCUGGUUUUCCAGCCCAGUGCAGUCCUGGUGUUCUGCUCACCAAAUGUCUUCUGAGGCUUAGGACAGAUGGGAGCUGGAUAGUUGCCCUGACUGCAGGCUGCUGAGUGGAGGUUUGUGUCACGCAGCCAGCUGCCGCAAAAGACAAGGGCUUGUCCCCAGGCCCCAGGAUUGGCCUCUGUGUCUUUGGACAGAGGUGCCAGGGUCUGUGGGGACUGCCACCAGCUCCAGGGCUCAGCUGGCUAGAAGCCUGUCUGCUGACACUGGGGCAAUUAGGGUGUAAUCUUCUCUAAAUGGUGCCUGAUUCUGGCUAAAUCCCUCCUGCCCAAGUGUGGAUUCCCAGUUUUCUAAAAGCAGCUUAGUAUUUGGAUGCUGCCCAGGGCAGCUGGGGUUUGUGGUUGUUGAUAGGAUGGAUAUGGGCGGAUGGGACAGACGUGGGGGAUGGGAGUGAUCCCUGUGUGGGCACCAGCCCUUGGGUGCAGUUCUCCUGAUCCCUAAAGCCAAUGUGCAGGUGCUCUGCUGGAAAACUGAAGCCAAAAGCCACACAGCAGGAAGGGCAGGCCAGGCCAGUGGAGGACAGAUGUCAACAGGGAUGGGCCCUUGGCAUGUUCAUCUGAUGCAUGAGGCUUGUCUGCUGGGUAGGGUGUGUGUGGGUGUGCCUGUAGCCUCUGUUCCCAUGUCAGUUCCCAGGAAGAGCCCCCAGCCCAGGAGGUCCCCACCUUCUCCUGCAGGGGGGAUCUGUGUAGCCUUUCUGGGCUCCUCCCUGCCCUCCUGCCAGCUGAGGCUGGCGGGCUCCUUGGAGCCCAGCUCCACCCCUUACCCCACCAUAUCCAGUACACCUACCCUUCCCUGGACAUCCCAGCUCUGGGAACCACUCUGCUGCAAAGAAGAAGAGUGCCUUUUGGUAUGAGAAGCUCUGUAGUACCCCCUGGGAGAUCAUCUGAAUUUGCUAAGCCUUGGUUUUGCUCACCUGUGAAAUCUGAGUGAAAAAUUGCUUCUUUGAAGUUGCUGUCAUGGCUCAGCCAUUAAUGAACUGGACUACAUCCUUGAGGACCCUGGUUUGAUCCCUGUCUCACUCAGCAGGUUAAGGAUCUGGCGUUGCCUUGAGCUGUGGUGUAGGUUGCAGAUGAAGCUCGGGAUCCUGAGUUGCUGUGGCUGUGGCGUAGGCUGGUGACUAAAUCUCCAAUUCGACCCCUGGCCUGGGAACCUUCGUAUGCCGCGGGUA
rnacentral:lncRNA from 1 species